rnacentral:rRNA from 1 species
UACGUAGGGGGCUAGCGUUGCCCGGAAUCAUUGGGCGUAAAGAGCGUGUAGGCGGUCCGGUAAGUCCGCUGUGAAAGUCGGGGGCUCAACCCUCGAAUGCCGGUGGAUACUGUCGGGCUAGAGUGCGGAAGAGGCGAGUGGAAUUCCUGGUGUAGCGGUGAAAUGCGCAGAUAUCAGGAGGAACACCUAUUGCGAAGGCAGCUCGCUGGGACGUUACUGACGCUGAGGCGCGAAAGCGUGGGGAGCGAACGGG